rnacentral:rRNA from 1 species
UCCUACGGGGCGCAGCAGUGGGGGAUAUUACCCAAUGGGGGGAACCCUGAUGCAGCGACGCCGCGUGGGUGAAGAAGCGCCUCGGCGCGUAAAGCCCUGUCAGCAGGGAAGAAAAUGACGGUACCUGAAGAAGAAGCCCCGGCUAACUACGUGCCAGCAGCCGCGGUAAUACGUAGGGGGCAAGCGUUAUCCGGAUUUACUGGGUGUAAAGGGGGCGCAGACGGCGAUGCAAGCCAGGAGUGAAAGCCCGGGGCCCAACCCCGGGACUGCUCUUGGAACUGCGUGGCUGGAGUGCAGGAGGGGCG